rnacentral:rRNA from 1 species
AUACGUAGGUGGCGAGCGUUGUCCGGAAUUACUGGGUGUAAAGGGCGCGUAGGCGGGGAUGCAAGUCAGAUGUGAAAUACCGAGGCUUAACCUCGGGGCUGCAUCUGAAACUGUAUUUCUUGAGUGUCGGAGAGGAAAGUGGAAUUCCUAGUGUAGCGGUGAAAUGCGUAGAGAUUAGGAGGAACACCAGUGGCGAAGGCGACUUUCUGGACGAUAACUGACGCUGAGGCGCGAAAGCGUGGGGAGCAAACAGGAUUAGAUACCCUGGUAGUCCACGCUGUAAACGAUGGAUACUAGGUGUAGGGGGUAUCGACCCCCUCUGUGCCGCAGUUAACACAAUAAGUAUCCCACCUGGGGAGUACGGCCGCAAGGUUGAA